UGAGAGGAAGAAAAAUAAUACAAAGUUUGAAAGAUUUUAGAAAUUUAUUUGAAGUUCGAGAAACGUGUUGGGGCUCGAAAUUUAGUAUUUAAAAGCUUGGCACCGGAGUUGAGGUUGGGCGAAUUUUGAGGCAUUCUGAAUUAUAUUCAAGGUGAAGGCAGCGGUACGAAGGGAAAAGAAAUUGUCGAGAAGUGACAGUGAUUAGAGGAUGUUUUAUAUUAUGUCCUUUUAGUUAUGUUAUUUAUUUUGAGAACAUCAUGUAAGCGUUGGUGCAACUUUAUAUUAUAAAUAAAGUGGUUUCGGUUUCGAUUA